rnacentral:rRNA from 1 species
UUGAACGCUGGCGGCAGGCCUAACACAUGCAAGUCGAGCGGUAGCACAGAGAGCUUGCUCUCGGGUGACGAGCGGCGGACGGGUGAGUAAUGUCUGGGAAACUGCCUGAUGGAGGGGGAUAACUACUGGAAACGGUAGCUAAUACCGCAUAAUGUCGCAAGACCAAAGUGGGGGACCUUCGGGCCUCAUGCCAUCAGAUGUGCCCAGAUGGGAUUAGCUAGUAGGUGGGGUAACGGCUCACCUAGGCGACGAUCCCUAGCUGGUCUGAGAGGAUGACCAGCCACACUGGAACUGAGACACGGUCCAGACUCCUACGGGAGGCAGCAGUGGGGAAUAUUGCACAAUGGGCGCAAGCCUGAUGCAGCCAUGCCGCGUGUGUGAAGAAGGCCUUCGGGUUGUAAAGCACUUUCAGCGGGGAGGAAGGCGUUAAGGUUAAUAACCUUGGCGAUUGACGUUACCCGCAGAAGAAGCACCGGCUAACUCCGUGCCAGCAGCCGCGGUAAUACGGAGGGUGCAAGCGUUAAUCGGAAUUACUGGGCGUAAAGCGCACGCAGGCGGUCUGUCAAGUCGGAUGUGAAAUCCCCGGGCUCAACCUGGGAACUGCAUUCGAAACUGGCAGGCUAGAGUCUUGUAGAGGGGGGUAGAAUUCCAGGUGUAGCGGUGAAAUGCGUAGAGAUCUGGAGGAAUACCGGUGGCGAAGGCGGCCCCCUGGACAAAGACUGACGCUCAGGUGCGAAAGCGUGGGGAGCAAACAGGAUUAGAUACCCUGGUAGUCCACGCCGUAAACGAUGUCGAUUUGGAGGUUGUGCCCUUGAGGCGUGGCUUCCGGAGCUAACGCGUUAAAUCGACCGCCUGGGGAGUACGGCCGCAAGGUUAAAACUCAAAUGAAUUGACGGGGGCCCGCACAAGCGGUGGAGCAUGUGGUUUAAUUCGAUGCAACGCGAAGAACCUUACCUGGUCUUGACAUCCACAGAACUUUCCAGAGAUGGAUUGGUGCCUUCGGGAACUGUGAGACAGGUGCUGCAUGGCUGUCGUCAGCUCGUGUUGUGAAAUGUUGGGUUAAGUCCCGCAACGAGCGCAACCCUUAUCCUUUGUUGCCAGCGGUUCGGCCGGGAACUCAAAGGAGACUGCCAGUGAUAAACUGGAGGAAGGUGGGGAUGACGUCAAGUCAUCAUGGCCCUUACGACCAGGGCUACACACGUGCUACAAUGGCAUAUACAAAGAGAAGCGACCUCGCGAGAGCAAGCGGACCUCAUAAAGUACGUCGUAGUCCGGAUUGGAGUCUGCAACUCGACUCCAUGAAGUCGGAAUCGCUAGUAAUCGUAGAUCAGAAUGCUACGGUGAAUACGUUCCCGGGCCUUGUACACACCGCCCGUCACACCAUGGGAGUGGGUUGCAAAAGAAGUAGGUAGCUUAACCUUCGGGAGGGCGCUUACCACUUUGUGAUUCAUGACUGGGGUG